AUUAUGUACCCCAUGGUGACCUUGAACUCAUGGUGAUCCUCCUGUCUUAGCCUCCUGAGUACUGGGAUUACAGGGGAAGGCCUAUUAACCACUCCACUAAAAGGAACAAAACAAAACAAAAAAACUAAAACAGAAAAAUUGUGUGAAGAAUUUUAUUUUUAAACUACCUAGACUCGCAGAUUUUGUCUUUGGACCAGUGCUCCUCAACAUAAAACAAAUGUUUGCAGUGGACACCAUUUGGGGAACACAGGAAAACUGAAGAGAAUCCAAUAAUAUUUUCAGGGUGCGCAGAGAAGCUUUCAGAAGAAUUUGAGUAUAAGAAUAAGAUAUUAACAUUAGUCUACUUUGGUGUAAUACAAGCAGAUAUGAA
rnacentral:lncRNA from 1 species